rnacentral:rRNA from 1 species
UACGUAGGGGGCAAGCGUUGUCCGGAAUGAUUGGGCGUAAAGCAUCCGUAGGUGGUUUCUAAAGUCAACUGUUAAAUCUCAGAGCUCAACUUUGGACAAGCAGUUGAGUACUUAGGGACUUGAGUAUGGUAGGGGUAGAGGGAAUUCCUAGUGGAGCGGUGAAAUGCACAGAGAUUAGGAAGAACACCAGUGGCGAAAGCGCUCUACUGGGCCAUGACUGACACUGAGAGAUGAAAGUUAGGGGAGCGAAAAGG